UACGGAGGGGACUAGCGUUGUUCGGAAUUACUGGGCGUAAAGCGCGCGUAGGCGGAUUUGUAAGUCGGGGGUGAAAUCCCGGGGCUCAACCUCGGAACUGCCUUCGAUACUGCAAAUCUCGAGUCCGGAAGAGGUGAGUGGAAUUCCUAGUGUAGAGGUGAAAUUCGUAGAUAUUAGGAAGAACACCAGUGGCGAAGGUGGCUCACUGGUCCGGUACUGACGCUGAGGCGCGAAAGCGUGGGGAGCAAACAGG
rnacentral:rRNA from 1 species